GCGCCCGUAGCUCAAUGGAUAGAGUACCGAUCUUCGGAAUCGUGGAUGUGGGUUCGAUUCCUGCCGGGCGCACCA
rnacentral:tRNA from 1 species